UCACAGUCUCUAGAGUGCAUUGAAAUUCAAAAUAAAGGAUGAUUAUGUGCGGCUAGGGAAGUAUUCUGAGUAUUAGCUGCAUGCUUCAAGGCCCAACAAUGGUUUCCUUCUGCAAUUGUUUUCUUCAGCGCAAUCCACCCGUCCACUUCAUCCCAGCUUCCUCCCGCGUCCGUCCGCCUCUUCCACAUCAAAGCAGCCUCGUUUCCUUCUCCGUUUCAGCAUCCCAGCCAUCUGCAUCU
rnacentral:lncRNA from 1 species